rnacentral:tRNA from 1 species
AGGGGUGUAGCUCAGUGGUAGAGCACUUGCCCAGUAUGUGUGAGUGCCUGGGUUCAAUCCCCAGUACCACGC